AAACAUAUCUUUAGGGUCUAAUUUAAAGUAUAACCUGCCCAAUGAUUAAUUUAAUGGCCGCAGUAAUUUAACUGUGCUAAGGUAGCAUAAUCAUUAGUCUUUUAAUUUAUGACUAGAAUGAAAGGUUAAACAUUUCUCUUUCUAUUUUUGUUUUACUUUAGAAUAACUUAGGCUAAAUAUAAAAAUAUAUUUAUUCCAAAAUUAGACGACAAGACCCUUUCAAACUUUACUUAAGUUAAGCUGGGGAAGCUUAAUAAAUAAUAUCUUAUUAAAAAUUUAACAAAUUGACCCAUUUAUAAAUGAGCCUAUGAACAAGUUACUGAAGGGAUAACAGCAUAAUAAAUUCUUAUAGUUCUUAUAAAAGAAUUAGUUUAUGACCUCGAUGUUGAAUUAUUUAACUUAUAAACGCAAGAGUAUAUAAAGUAGGUCUGUUCGACCUUUAAAUUUUUACAUGAUCUGAGU
rnacentral:rRNA from 1 species